AAAAAGGACUAUAGUUUCAGGGCUGCUAACUUUGAAGCGGGGAUUCUUCUCCCCUUUUUU
rnacentral:tRNA from 1 species